rnacentral:rRNA from 1 species
AGAGUUUGAUCCUGGCUCAGAGUGAACGUUGGCGGCGUGGAUUAGGCAUGCAAGUCGAGCGAGAACCGUAGCAAUACGGGGACAGCGGCGAAAGGGACAGUAAUAUGUAGGUACCUACCUCCGGGUUCGGGAUAGCUGCGGGAAACUGCAGGUAAUACCGAAUAACGUCUCCGGACCAAAGGUGUGAUUCCACCUGGAGAGGGGCCUGCAUCCUAUUAGCUUGUUGGUGGGGUAACGGCCUACCAAGGCAACGAUGGGUAGCGGGUGUGAGAGCAUGACCCGCGUCAUUGGGACUGAGACACUGCCCAGACACCUACGGGUGGCUGCAGUCGAGAAUCUUCGGCAAUGGGCGAAAGCCUGACCGAGCGACGCCGCGUGCGGGAUGAAGGCCCUCGGGUUGUAAACCGCUGUCGUAGAGGAGGAAGUGCAGGGGGGUUAUCCCCUUUGUUUGACCUAUUCUAGGAGGAAGUACGGGCUAAGUUCGUGCCAGCAGCCGCGGUAAGACGAACCGUACAAACGUUACUCGGAAUUACUGGGCUUAAAGGGUGCGUAGGCUGCGCAGAAAGUUGGGUGUGAAAGCCCUCGGCUCAACCGGGGAAUUGCAUCCAAAACUACUGUGCUCGAGGGAGACAGAGGUGAGCGGAACUCAAGGUGGAGCGGUGAAAUGCGUUGAUAUCUUGAGGAACACCGGUGGC